rnacentral:rRNA from 1 species
ACUCCUACGGGAGGCAGCAGUGGGGAAUAUUGCACAAUGGGCGCAAGCCUGAUGCAGCCAUGCCGCGUGUAUGAAGAAAGGCCCUUCGGGUUGUAAAGUACUUUCAGCAGUGAGGAAGGCGGGUGUGUUAAUAGCACAUUCGUUUGACGUUAGCUGCAGAAGAAGCACCGGCUAACUCCGUGCCAGCAGCCGCGGUAAUACGGAGGGUGCGAGCGUUAAUCGGAAUUACUGGGCGUAAAGCGCAUGCAGGUGGUUUGUUAAGUCAGAUGUGAAAGCCCGGGGCUCAACCUCGGAAUUGCAUUUGAAACUGGCAGACUAGAGUACUGUAGAGGGGGGUAGAAUUUCAGGUGUAGCGGUGAAAUGCGUAGAGAUCUGAAGGAAUACCGGUAGGCGAAGGCGGCCCCCUGGACAGAUACUGACACUCAGAUGCGAAAGCUGGGGAGCAAACAGGAUUAGAU